GCGAAAGCGUGGGGAGCAAACAGGAUUAGAUACCCUGGUAGUCCACGCCGUAAACGAUGUCGAUUUGGAGGUUGUGCCCUUGAGGCGUGGCUUCCGGAGCUAACGCGUUAAAUCGACCGCCUGGGGAGUACGGCCGCAAGGUUAAAACUCAAAUGAAUUGACGGGGGCCCGCACAAGCGGUGGAGCAUGUGGUUUAAUUCGAUGCAACGCGAAGAACCUUACCUGGUCUUGACAUCCACAGAACUUUCCAGAGAUGGAUUGGUGCCUUCGGGAACUGUGAGACAGGUGCUGCAUGGCUGUCGUCAGCUCGUGUUGUGAAAUGUUGGGUUAAGUCCCGCAACGAGCGCAACCCUUAUCCUUUGUUGCCAGCGGUCCGGCCGGGAACUCAAAGGAGACUGCCAGUGAUAAACUGGAGGAAGGUGGGGAUGACGUCAAGUCAUCAUGGCCCUUACGACCAGGGCUACACACGUGCUACAAUGGCAUAUACAAAGAGAAGCGACCUCGCGAGAGCAAGCGGACCUCAUAAAGUAUGUCGUAGUCCGGAUUGGAGUCUGCAACUCGACUCCAUGAAGUCGGAAUCGCUAGUAAUCGUAGAUCAGAAUGCUACGGUGAAUACGUUCCCGGGCCUUGUACACACCGCCCGUCACACCAUGGGAGUGGGUUGCAAAAGAAGUAGGUAGCUUAACCUUCGGGAGGGCGCUUACCACUUUGUGAUUCAUGACUGGGGUGAAGUCGUAACAAGGUAACCGUAGGGGAACCUGCGGUUG
rnacentral:rRNA from 1 species